rnacentral:rRNA from 1 species
UUAGACAGCUAGGAGGUUGGCUUAGAAGCAGCCACCCUUUAAAGAAAGCGUAAUAGCUCACUAGUCGAGUCGGCCUGCGCGGAAGAUGUAACGGGGCUCAAACCAUGCACCGAAGCUACGGGUAUCACCUUAUGGUGAUGCGGUAGAGGAGCGUUCUGUAAGCCUGUGAAGGUGAGUUGAGAAGCUUGCUGGAGGUAUCAGAAGUGCGAAUGCUGACAUGAGUAACGACAAUGCGAGUGAAAAACUCGCACGCCGAAAGACC